rnacentral:rRNA from 1 species
AUUGAACGCUAGCGGGAUGCCUUACACAUGCAAGUCGAACGGCAGCGCGGACUUCGGUCUGGCGGCGAGUGGCGAACGGGUGAGUAAUGUAUCGGAACGUGCCCAGUAGCGGGGGAUAACUACUCGAAAGAGUAGCUAAUACCGCAUACGCCCUACGGGGGAAAGGGGGGGAUCGCAAGACCUCUCACUAUUGGAGCGGCCGGUAUCGGAUUAGCUAGUUGGUGAGGUAAAGGCCCACCAAGGCGAGGAUCCUUAGCUGGUUUGAGAGGACGACCAGCACCACGGGGACUGAGACACGGCCCGGCCUCCUAGGGGGGGCAGCAGUGGGGAAUUUUGGACAAUGGGGGAAACCCUGAUCCGGCCAUUCCGCGUGUGCGAUGAAGGCCUUCGGGUUGUAAAGCACUUUUGGCAGGAAAGAAAUCGCACGGAUUAAUACUCUGUGUGGAUGACGGUACCUGCAGAAUAAGCACCGGCUAACUACGUGCCAGCAGCCGCGGUAA